rnacentral:rRNA from 1 species
CAGCAGCAGCCGCGGUAAUACGAGGGGGGCAAGCGUUGUUCGGAAUUAUUGGGCGUAAAGGGAGCGUAGGCGGUUUUGUAAGUCGUGUGUAAAAUCUUCAGGCUCAACCUGAAGUCUGCACACGAAACUGCAGGGCUUGAGUAUGGGAGAGGUGAGUGGAAUUCCUGGUGUAGCGGUGAAAUGCGUAGAUAUCAGGAGGAACACCUGUGGCGAAAGCGGCUCACUGGACCAUUACUGACGCUGAGGCUCGAAAGCUAGGGGAGCAAACAGGAUUAGAUACCCGAGUAGUCCCUGUCUCUUAUAC